rnacentral:rRNA from 1 species
GCACAAAGUGCCAGGAAAGAAUUAUUCAAGCCCUUCCCAGAAGGUAUCCUUCUGGCAAGGGUACUGUACUAAACUAACUAAAGUGGGGGAUAGUGAGGGGAUAAAUUUUCUUAAGGAACUCGGCAAAAUCCCAAUGGCCCACCAGGGCAUAUUGGAACACGGGCCUCGACUGUUUACCAAAAACAUAGCCCUCGGCUAAUAUGAAAAUAGAUGUAUAGAGGGUGAUGCCUGCCCAAUGGUUGUAUCUAAAAGCGGUUGAUAAAAGUUGACCUCGUAAGGACAAUUGAAUGGCCGCGGUAACACUGACCGUGAUAAUGUAGCGUAAUCAAUAGCCAAUUAAUUGUUGGCCAGUAUGAAUGGCGCCACGAAGGCCCCACUGUCUUAAGGAAAUUCCCAGUGAAAUUGAAUUCGUAGUGAAGAUGCUACGUCCAAUUUGUUAGACGAAAAGACCCCGUUGAGCUUUACUGGAGCACUUACAUGGCCCCGGCCUUCCCAUGCCUGGGAACCGGCCGAAUUUAAAUGGGCGGCUUAGAUUAUGUGGCAGCCCCCCGCUGGGGCAAAUGAAACACCACUCCCCCAUGUCAAAGGGGCUAACCCCCCCCCUUGGGGGGACAGUGUAAGUAGGACAGUUUGGUUGGGGCGACCACCUUUUAAAAAGUAACGAAGGUGCGCUUAAGGUGCGCAAUUAAUGACUGAAGCCUGACUGCGAGGGGGACACCCCGAGCAGACACCCCAAAGCCCGCCCGAAAGGCGGCGGUGGGGUGGGCCAUAGUGACCCGUUAAUUUAGAGUGGAAUAGUUAACGAUCAACGAAUAAAAGUUACCACGGGGAUAACAGCGUAAUAUCGUUAGAGAGUUCACAUCGACGACGAUGUUUGCGACCUCGAUGUUGAAUUGCGGCAUCCUGGGGUGCAGCCGCUCCA